AACGGUCUAUACCUGCGGUACCUGCGGAAGGAUCAUUAAAGAGAAAACUGCCCUUUGGGUAGAUCUCCCACCCUUUGUUUACCUUACCUUUGUUGCUUUGGCAGGCCCGUCUUCUGACCACCGGCUUUAGCUGGUCCGUGCCUGCCAGAGGACCCCAAACUCUUAAUUUUAAGUUGUCCGAGUCUUAUAAAAUAGUAAAAACUUUUAACAAUGGAUCUCU
rnacentral:misc_RNA from 1 species